UACGUAGGGGGCAAGCGUUGUCCGGAAUUAUUGGGAGUAAAGAGCGUGUAGGCGGUCCGGUAAGUCAGCUGUGAAAGUCAAGGGCUCAACCCUUGAAUGCCGGUUGAUACUGUCGGGCUAGAGUCCGGAAGAGGCGAGUGGAAUUCCCGGUGUAGCGGUGAAAUGCGCAGAUAUCUGGAGGAACACCGGUGGCGAAGGCGGCAUCCUUGACCGGUAUUGACGCUGAGGCGCGAAAGCUAGGGGAGCAAACGGG
rnacentral:rRNA from 1 species